rnacentral:rRNA from 1 species
AACGAACGCUGGCGGCAGGCCUAACACAUGCAAGUCGAACGGUUGUAGCAAUACAUCAGUGGCGCACGGGUGAGUAACGCGUGGGAACGUGCCCUUCACUACGGGACAACGUCGGGAACCUGACGCUAAUACCGUAUAAUGUCUCCGGACCAAAGAUUUAUCGGUGAAGGAUCGGCCCGCGUCUGAUUAGCUAGUUGGUGAGGUAAAAGCUCACCAAGGCGACGAUCAGUAGCUGGUUUGAGAGAAUGAUCAGCCACACGGGGACUGAGACACGGCCCAGACCCCUACGGGAGUCAACAGUGAGGAAUCUUGGACAAUGGGCGCAAGCCUUAUCCAGCCAUGCCGCGUGAGUGAUGAAGGCCUUAGGGUUGUAAAGCUCUUUCAGUGGGGAAGAUAAUGACUGUACCCACAGAAGAAGCCCCGGCUAACUCCGUGCCAGCAGCCGCCGUAACAC